rnacentral:ncRNA from 2 species
ACCACCAUCACUGCUGAUGGUCCUUCCGGUGAGGAAGGUGAAAAGGGAACGCGGUGCAAGGCCGCGGCUGCCCCCGCAACUGUAGGCGGAGAGCGGAGUGCCGGAAUGGCCACUGGGGUGCGCGCACCCCGGGAAGGCUGGCGCCCCGUGCCUGAUCCGCGAGCCAGGAGACCUGCCAUCGCCGAUAGGAUCGU